rnacentral:rRNA from 1 species
GAUGAACGCUGGCGGUAUGCUUAACACAUGCAAGUCGAACGGUCACAUCGGUGAUAGUGGCGGACGGGUGAGUAACGCGAGAGAAUCUGUCUUCAGGGCGGGGACAACAGUUAGAAAUGACUGCUAAUACCGGAUGUGCCUUUGGGUGAAAGAUUUAUUGCCUGAAAAAGAGCUCGCGUCAGAUUAGCUGGUAGGUGGUGUAAGAGACUACCUCGGCUCCGAUCUGUAGCUUGUCUGAGAGGACGGGCUGACACACUGGAGCUGAGACACGGUCCAGAAUCUUACGCGAGGGAGCAGUGGUUGCUGGUACGCACGUGGCGAAGGGCUGACGGAGCCAGGCCCCGUUAGGGACGUAGGUUUUUGAGUCCUAAACCGCUUUUCCCAACGAAGGUGAUGACGGUACUUGAGGAAUAAGCAUCGGCUAACUCCGUG